rnacentral:rRNA from 1 species
GACUGACCGAUAGUGAACCAGUACCGUGAGGGAAAGGCGAAAAGAACCCCGGAGAGGGGAGGGAAAUAGAUCCUGAAACCGUAUGCGUACAAGCAGUGGGAGCCUACUUGUUAGGUGACUGCGUACCUUUUGUAUAAUGGGUCAGCGACUUAUAUUCAGUGGCGAGCUUAACCGAAUAGGGGAGGCGUAGCGAAAGCGAGUCUUAAUAGGGCGUUUAGUCGCUGGGUAUAGACCCGAAACCGGGCGAUCUAUCCAUGGGCAGGUUGAAGGUUAGGUAACACUGACUGGAGGACCGAACCGACUACCGUUGAAAAGUUAGCGGAUGACCUGUGGAUCGGAGUGAAAGGCUAAUCAAGCUCGGAGAUAGCUGGUUCUCCUCGAAAGCUAUUUAGGUAGCGCCUCAUGUAUCACUGUAGGGGGUAGAGCACUGUUUCGGCUAGGGGGUCAUCCCGACUUACCAAACCGAUGCAAACUCCGAAUACCUACAAGUGCCGAGCAUGGGAGACACACGGCGGGGGCUAACGUCCGUCGUGAAAAGGGAAACAACCCAGACCGUCAGCUAAGGUCCCAAAGUUAUGGUUAAGUGGGAAACGAUGUGGGAAGGCUUAGACAGCUAGGAGGUUGGCUUAGAAGCAGCCACCCUUUAAAGAAAGCGUAAUAGCUCACUAGUCGAGUCGGCCUGCGCGGAAGAUGUAACGGGGCUCAAACCAUACACCGAAGCUACGGGUAUCACUUAGGUGAUGCGGUAGAGGAGC